AUUGAACGCUGGCGGCAUGCUUUACACAUGCAAGUCGAACGGUAACAGGGAGCUUGUUCCGCUGACGAGUGGCGAACGGGUGAGUAAUGCGUCGGAACGUGCCGAGUAGUGGGGGAUAACGCAGCGAAAGUUGUGCUAAUACCGCAUACGUACUGAGGUAGAAAGUGGGGGACCUUCGGGCCUCACGCUAUUCGAGCGGCCGACGUCCGAUUAGCUAGUAGGUGAGGUAAAGGCUCACCUAGGCGACGAUCAGUAGCGGGUCUGAGAGGAUGAUCCGCCACACUGGGACUGAGACACGGCCCAGACUCCUACGGGAGGCGGCAGUGGGGAAUUUUGGACAAUGGGCGAAAGCCUGAUCCAGCCAUGCCGCGUGUCUGAAGAAGGCCUUCGGGUUGUAAAGGACUUUUGUCGGGGAGGAAAUCCCCAGCGCUAAUACCGCUGGGGGAUGACAGUACCUGAAGAAUAAGCACCGGCUAACUACGUGCCAGCCGCCGCAGUAAGAC
rnacentral:rRNA from 1 species